GACAACACAAGUCAGUAAAGGCCACAUAGUUAGAAUUUAACUUCUGUGCUCCAAUCCCAGCUUCUUACCAUCUAAGCACAUAAACUUAUCUUUCAUCUGAAAGGCCUGACAAGGGCUCUCAGAGCACGCAGGUUCUCAAGGGGACAUGGCAGGCUUCCUCUCAGACCUGGUUCAAUACCGGAAGCUAUUGCUAAUGAUUUUGGUGCUAGGAAUUGGUGGAACGCAUCUAUCUGGUUUUCAAAUAUCUGUGAUCAACUAUACUUCUCCGUACAUUCAGAAGUUUAUCAAUGAAACCUGGCUGGAGCGAUAUGGUUCUGUGCUGCAUCAGGAGACGCUCACAUUAUUGUGGUCCUUCAUCGUGUCUAUGUACUGUGUAGGUGGAAUGUUAGGAUGUCUGUGUAGUGGGUACCUGACUGCAAAAUAUGGAAAGAAGAAAUGUCUACUGUUCAAUGACGUGGUCCUAAUAGUAGCCGUUCUGCAUACUGGUUUCAGUAAAAGAGCCAAGUCCUUUGAGAUGAUCCUGGUUGGGCGCUUCCUGGAGGGCAUUGGUGCUGGAAUACAUACGAAUGCCCAUGUUCAGUAUGCUGGAGAGAUCUCACCUAAGAAGUUGCGUGGAUUUAUAAAUGUGACCACCUCUGUGUUUCUUGCACUAGGAAAAGCUGUAGCAAGAAUUCUUGGAUUACGAGAUCUUUUAGGAGCUGAAGACACAUGGAAUGUGCUGUUGUCCUUCUCUGGGAUGGUGGCAUUGAUUCAACUGCUCUUUUUGCCAUUCUUUCCUGAGUCCCCUCCCUAUCUCUUGAUGCAAAAAGGAGACAAGCCUGGUUGUUUGAAAGCCAUGAAGCAACUCUGGGGAGAAGGGAAUUAUCAGACAGAGUAUGAUGACUUGAUGAAGGAAAAAUCUGUAACAAAAAGCACCAAAAUCAUGAAUGUCCUACAGGUGCUGAAGGAACCAUCUGUUUAUCCGCAGCUGAGUACCAUGCUCCUCCUUUUAUUGAGUCUACAGCUCUGUGGCCUGAGUGCAAUCACCUUUUACACCUCAGAAAUUUUUAAGACAGCCAACCUGCAGGAAAGCAUAAUCCCAUAUGUAUCUCUAGGAGUUGCAAUCUGUGAGCUCAUCUCUGUCAUCUUCUGUAGCUCCAUUAUUGAUCGUUUUGGACGUCGGAUACUCCUGUGGGGUGGUUAUUUGCUGAUGGCACUGAUACUGUUGUUGCUUGAAACAAGCCUUCUACUGAGCGAUCAGUUCCUCUGGAUGCGUUACUGCAGUGUUAUUCUCAUCUUUUUAUUCAUUAUUGCCUAUGGAAUAGGACCAGGUGAGUACAACAACAAAAGCACAAACAGGGAACCUUGGGCCACAAGUGUACGCACAGGCCAUAGAUCUGUGGAAAGAGAACUACACUGUGUGACUAUAUCUUUGAAAAUCAACAGUUUAGUUUGGACGGAAAUUAGAGAAGCUCCAAUUUUUGAUGAGUUAGUGACCCAAGAAAGAAUUUCUUUAACAAAGUACUUGAAACAAUUCAGACCCUCAGGAUGCUGUUUCCUCUCACUAGAUUACAGGUUUGAGCCAAAAAAGUACCUGGAGGGCAUGAAUACUGCUCAGCGCAUUCAAGCCCAACUGGCCUAUCUCUGUCUUCGCACAUGGGCAGCGGUAGCCUCUUGUAAAUACCAGAGUUUUUUCAACUCAUCUGUAAAAUCCUACUCUGCUAAAGAAUGAUGUCUGAUGGCACACACAGUCUGUCUCUUAGCACUGCUCUGUCUUUUCUCAUCCUCAUUUUUUUUUUUUUUAUUGUAAUAGCUGUAUAUAAGGACAAUGAAUAUCUUGAAAACCUAACAGAACGUCCAUGGUAGCAGAACCCAAGCAUCUCCUACGGGCAACACAGAGAAAAGGGCCACUAAGGCCAUUCACCUUCAUAUUUUGUACAUCUUUGGUGGAUAGAAACUGCCCUUCAGAGGUUUCCAUCGCUCUCCAUGGAUUGUAAGAGAAGACUGUAUGGGACAUAGAGAUGGCUAAGCUGCCCAAAUCUAGAUGAUCUCACAGCAGCCUGACUCACUGGGACUAUGUUUGACCAGUCACAUUAGUUCACUCACUCUGAGGAAUAUGGUUAACUGCAACAAUGUUUUUAUUGCAUUUUUAUGGUUUUUUUUCCUCAGCUGGAGCCGUUGCAUCUGUCAUGAAUGAAAUCUUCACCCUCUCAACAAGAUGCUUCUUGGUCCUUUUUGCUUCCUCAUCUUUAUUGGGGUCCUGGUCAUCUCAGCGAUUCUCAUCUAUCUGUUCCUCCCAGAAACUAAAGGGAAGUCAA